UAACCUGGGAUGGCAUGUUUUUGGUGAAUGAGUAGGCACCCAAAGAUGAUGAAAGAUUUAAUAAACGAUGGAAUCUUCGAGAGCUGAAAGUAAGCAUAAAUCUAGAGAUUCCCUAGCACGGCAACCUGUCGAUCUGCAACUGAAUCCUUGGACAUGCAAGAUACAAACUAACGAACUAAAACUUCUUAAUAACCACAAGAAAAGAAAUCAAAAGGGAUUCAUAUAAUAGUGGGGAGCGAAAUAGGAGCAACCUAAACCGUGAUAAUGAAGUUGUGAGAAGCAACACAAGCAUCAUGUUGCCAGGUGAAGCACCAUGACUAUUUGCACUCUAGAUAACGAAAUUCUAGUAGCAGAAAGCAUUACU
rnacentral:rRNA from 1 species